AACGGUCUAUACCUGCGGUACCUGCGGAGGGAUCAUUAUUGAAGUCGCUGAGAGGUUGGUUGCUGGCUCUUCGGAGCAAACUGUGCACACCGCUCACACUUUAUCAACCACUUGUGCACCUCUUGUAGUCUUUUUCAGAUAACUUUUGCACUUUUGUUCACAACAAAGUGUUGCGGGGACUUUUGCUACAUGAUUUUCCUUUGUGCGGCUUCAGUCCAAUAUCUGAAGGGGACUAUUCUU
rnacentral:misc_RNA from 1 species